AACGUAGGUGGCAAGCGUUAUCCGGAAUUACUGGGCGUAAAGGGUGUGCAGGCGGGGUGGCAAGUGGUGUAUGAAAUCUCCCAGCUUAACUGGGAUAGGUUAUGCCAGACUGCUACUCUAGAGGACGAGAGAGGGGCGUGGAAUUCCGGGUGUAGUGGUGAAAUGCGUAGAUAUCGGGAGGAACACCAGUGGCGAAGGCGACUACCUGGCCUGUUCUUGACGCUGAGGCGCGAAAGCUAGGGGAGCAAACGGG
rnacentral:rRNA from 1 species